rnacentral:rRNA from 1 species
CACGUAGGGUGCGAGCGUUGUCCGGAAUUAUUGGGCGUAAAGAGCUCGUAGGCGGUGUGUCGCGUCGGCCGUGAAAACCUGCAGCUUAACUGUGGGCUUGCGGUCGAUACGGGCAUCACUGGAGUUCGGCAGGGGAGACUGGAAUUCCUGGUGUAGCGGUGAAAUGCGCAGAUAUCAGGAGGAACACCAAUAGCGAAGGCAGCGCGCUGGGACGUUACUGACACUGAGGCGCGAAAGCGUGGGGAGCGAACAGG